UAUCUAUCUAUCUAUCUAUCUAUCUAUCUAUCUAUCUAUCUAUCUACCUAUCUAUCUAUCUAUCUAUCUAUCUAUCUAUCUAUCUAUCUAUCUACCUAUCUAUCUAUCUAUCUAUCUAUUGUUAUGACAUGAUUAGGAAGUAGUUAGGAAUUAGUUAUUUGUUUCGGGAAUAGGGUAAAGUUUUAAUUAGCGACAAGUGACGUGACAGAUCUUUUAAAAAUAAGAACGCUCUAAACGACGCUAGAAGGAGGACGCUUAUUGUAAAGUAGUAGACUUGAGUACGACAUUAUUGACAUCGGACGAUUCCCUUUUGAGUAUUAAACGUAUUGUUAGAACAACAUAUCAGCGUCGACUACAUAUUUGAUUGUUUCGGCCUUUCGCCGGUGUUACUGAAGUGUUGAGUUCAGCGUUACCUACAGUUAGAUCUACACUAGACAGAUUGUCAAGCAUCAACACCGCGCAGAGGUCUUAACAACGUGGCGACCCCAGACUCGGAGCUCACUGGCAUCAACGUUCAGAAGGAUAGAAGCCCUCUGUUAGGAGGAGGCAGAAGUUACGUCAUCGGCCUAGUCUGCAGCUAGACCCUGAUUAUACAGCCACGUCGGCGAAGGAAAGCCAGUGAGAUCCUGGACUCGUAGACCUAGGAGGUAACGAAAUAUUGAUCUAGAUCUACAUUUGUAAUUUGUAAACGCCCAUACGUUGGGGCAUCGUACUGAAGCCUGUAGUUCGGUAUCGAGAAAGCUACAGUUGGUGAAGGGAAGAAAACCGUCCUGUCGAAGCCGUACUGAAGAGAUAUCGCCUGCCCGGCAUCUUGAGAACGAACGUGAAGGUCACCUCUGCAAGGCCAAGAUCGACCGUUGAGGUCACGCCAAAGAACUUGUGACGUAGGAACCAUCUUACUGCCUACGGCACUUAAGUACAGUAGUGCUAAUCUGAUCUACGUCUCGGCUGAAUCUGUGCUACACGUUAGAUAGCCAGAUAGCCGGUAUUUUAGCACUGGACUUUGACUUUGUCGCUGGGUCAACUGUUGGACCGUUCCAGUUUCACUUUGGACAGACGACCACCUGGAACCACCGUACCUGCCUUGGAACCAGCAACCGGAACCAGACUCUACGUCACCGACGAACCGGAGCCAGACGACAGAUCACCGUGAACCAGAACCAGACGCCGUACCACCGAAGAACCGGAGCCGUUGCAGACCAGUACCGAAGGACCUUGGAGAGCCGAAACGUUCGCUGUCCUUAUCUCACCGCUAGAGAAGACAUCGCCGUGAACCUUGCCGCCGGGACAGACAUUAGCGUAGGAAGAGUGGACCCGAGACUGACUGUGGAGUUAUCGCAUCGCCGCUUCUUAGACAGAUAAGUCAAGUGUUAUUUAACUACUUUCUCCUUAGAUUAAUUAGAGUCUGUAGGGAAGUGACCACUCGCUAGAUUAUCACUACCAGGUUAAAUCGUGGUGGAUUGGGGAUAUCCUUAAAAUUAGGUGUAACCUAGCAAGAGGUCCAGAUAUACGUUUAGCUGUUUAUUCGUCCCGUAUGUGAAUGUGAAUCAUUUAGUUAAGCUUUUGUUGUAGUAACGUUGUGUAUUAAUUGUUUGCAAUACUCCUGUCUUAAGUCUUACUGUCAGACGAAAGUCUCAUUCAUUAGAACUAGAUCUAUAGUUUGGUGUUUAACGUAUUUAGGUUUAAUUUCAUAGUUUAUUUGUAUGAGUAAGUUAUAUACACUCCUGGCUGUGAAAGCAGGUAAGAAGUAACUAAGAUCUAGCGUAAUCUAGACUAGAUCUGGGGAACAAUCGAGGUGAAGCCUGAUUGCCCAUUUGUAAUUGUAGUUUUUGUAAAUAGACAGGUUGGUCUAUUUACCGGCGACUCGUGUUGAGUAACACAUAGUCGGUGGAGUGUGCGUGUGUCGCACAUCGUAUUCAGUCGGGUCAGGGUGUAGCCUACACGCCUACACACUGGUACCAAGGAUACUAAGUGUAUCUUGGAAAGUACAGAAGUUAUUGUAAGUCGGAGUUGGUAGUCUAGACGCCAAGGGUAGAGUGGCGAAUUUAAUUUAUUUGAAUCAAGAGGUAUUAGGUAGCCGCGGAGCGAGGUUACGCUCAAAAGGUAAUUCGAUUUAUAGAACAUAGGUAAUAGAAGCUAUUAGGCCUGUGUGUAAGAUAAUUUAAAAAAAAAGCGAGGUAAAGUAACAAAGGUAAUAUGGCAACUACUUCAGGUUACGACCUGGAAGGUUUUAGAAAAAAACUAAUUCAUGAAGCUAAGACAGAACUAGAACUGCGCGGCAAAGAACUAACUGCCUAUGUACAGCAGAUGGUGGCGGCAGAAGCAGAACGCUUGGAGAGAGAGAAAGCUAGAGGCAGAGAAAAAGAAAAAGAAGAAGCAGAUCGCAUAGAGCGUGAAAAGGUUAGAGAGGCAGAAAAGUUGGAGAGGGAAAAGGUUAGAGAGGCGGAACGUGUAGAGAGGGAGAAAAAAGAAGAAGCGGAACGCAUCGAGAGGGAAAAAAAAGAAGAGGCGGACAGAAAAGUGUCAGGGGCAGGUAUGGCGAGAGUGAUUGUGUUAUUUCUUUGUACUAUUUAAGUAUGAAAGAGUUAUAUCCCUUUGUUUAUUUCUCCUCUUCUCUUCCCCCCCCCCCCCCAGGCAUGAAUGUGAACAGUAUACACGUGAUGUUUUUGAAUGGUAGUUUUUCCGCUGGUUGAUAGAGUCGAUUGGUAGUUCGUUAGUUGUAUUAUGUUCCUGGACUGGUGUUUUGUGUAUUUAAUAUUUACUGAGGUUGAUAUCAUUUUUUUGUGCUCAAUCAGAUACUAUCAGAUACUAUUAAAGUAUUACUUGUGUUAUUCAUAUA